AGUAGUUUGAUCAGUGGCUCGAGACGACGCUGGCGGCGUGCCUAAAACAUGCAAGUCGAACGGGGUCUUCGGACCCAGUGGCGAACGGCGGAGUAAUACAUAAGCAACGUGCCCUGAAGACUGGGAUAUACGAUGGAAACGUCGGGCAAUACCAGAUGUGGUUGGGAGGAGUCAUCUUCAUCCAAUUAAACGGAUUUAUUCGCUUCGGGAGCGGCUUGUGGCCUAUCAGCUAGUUGGUGAGGUAAAGGCUCACCAAGGCGACGACGGGUAGGGGGUCUGAGAGGAUGAUCCCCUCGAGUGGGACUGAGACACGGCCCACACACCUACGGGUGGCAGCAGUUGGGAAUCUUGCACAAUGGGGAAACCCUGAUGCAGACGACGCCGCGUGGAGGAUGAAGGAUUUCGGUCUGUAAACUCCUUUUACAGGGAAAGACUUAGGACGGUACCCUGUGAAUAAGCUCCGGCUAACUACGUG
rnacentral:rRNA from 1 species